CAUGUGCUAUGGAUUUUCUCAUCACUCAGCUGAUUUUUUCUUCAACUUACUAAGCAAGUUCUGUCACAAUUACACUAUGUACUCAGAUAUUUUUUCACUAUUUCUUCACGCUACUAAGGUCCCAAUGCUGUGAUAUAUCUCUUCAUGCUACUAAAAUUUUCAAUGCUAUAUUAUAAAUUCUGUAUCCUUUCCUCUACAUCAUUCAAAUUUAACUCUUAACAAUCAUUAAGCAAUACCCAAAAGUUUUCCUCUCCCCAUGACAAAAUAUCCACUACUCCUCUUACUUUAAAUUUCAAGAAUCUAUACUAUAAAAUCUGCUAUGUAUAUCAUCUAAGAUAUCUUUUACAAAUAUUAGCUUAUUUUAUGCUCAAUAACCAUCCAAAAUUUAACUUCAAUGAUACUAUUAUUGAUCCAAUUCCUUAAUCAUUUUUCUUCUUAAUUAAUAACUAGA
rnacentral:lncRNA from 1 species